GACGAACGCUGGCGGCGUGCUUAACACAUGCAAGUCGAACGGAAAGGCCCCCAUCUUGGUGGGGGUGCUCGAGUGGCGAACGGGUGAGUAACACGUGGGUGAUCUGCCCUGUACUUCGGGAUAAGCUUGGGAAACUGGGUCUAAUACCGGAUAGGACCAUGGUUUAGUGUCUCAUGGUGGAAAGAUUAUUGUUUUGGUGCAGGAUGAGCUCGCGGCCUAUCAGCUUGUUGGUGGGGUAAUGGCCUACCAAGGCGUCGACGGGUAGCCGGCCUGAGAGGGUGGACGCCCACAUUGGGACUGAGAUACGGCCCAGACUCCUACGGGAGGCAGCAGUGGGGAAUAUUGCACAAUGGGCGCAAGCCUGAUGCAGCGACGCCGCGUGGGGGAUGACGGCCUUCGGGUUGUAAACUCCUUUCGUUAGGGACGAAGCCGCACUUUUUUUGGGUGUGGUGACGGUACCUUUGUUAAGAAGCACCGGCUAACUACGUG
rnacentral:rRNA from 1 species